CAGUCGCCGCGGGAAUACGGAGGAUCCAAGCGUUAUCCGGAUUUAUUGGGUUUAAAGGGUGCGUAGGUGGCUUUUUAAGUCAGGGGUGAAAGACGGUAGCUUAACUAUCGCAGUGCCUUUGAUACUGAAGAGCUUGAAUGAACUAGAGGUAGGCGGAAUGUGACAAGUAGCGGUGAAAUGCAUAGAUAUGUCACAGAACACCAAUUGCGAAGGCAGCUUACUAUGGUUUUAUUGACACUGAGGCACAAAAGCGUGGGGAUCAAACAGGAUUAGAUACCCCAGUAGUCCCUGUCUCUUAUAC
rnacentral:rRNA from 1 species